rnacentral:misc_RNA from 1 species
GCCAUAGAAAGUUUUACAAGUGGGGCACAUGUGUCUUGAAUUCAUUUCAAGUGGCAUUACAUUGCAAUAAAUAGAAAGUUUUACAAGUAGGAUCAGCAGUGGGUAAUAUAUUGCAAUCCAUUACCCACUGCUGAUCCACAAAGCAGGGUCGAUUUGGAAUAACAAUGAGAAAAUAAUUAUUCACUUAACUCUUCAAAAAAAG